UCUUCGGAAAGAAAGGGUGGUGGAAAGUGGCGAAAGGGUGAGUAACGCGUGGGCAACCUGCCCCUGAGUUUGGGACAACCCUUCGAAAGGGGGGCUAAUACCGGAUGUGGUGUCUUGUCGCAUAGCAGGAACAUCAAAGGUGGGGAUUCUUCGGAACCUGCCGCUUAGGGAUGGGCUCGCGUACCAUCAGCUUGUUGGUGGGGUAAUGGCCUACCAAGGCUUACGGUUAGCUGGUCUGAGAGGAUGGUCAGCCACACUGGGACUGAGACACUGCCCAGACUCCUACGGGAGGCUGCAGUCGAGGAUCAUUCGCAAUGCGCGAAAGCGUGACGAUGCGACGCUGCGUGGAGGAUGAAGGCCUUCGGGUUGUAAACUCCUGUCAUAAGGGAAAAGACGCAUGGGCGCUAAUACCGUCCGUGCCCGAUGGUACCUUAAGAGGAAGCCACGGCUAACUCUGUGCCAGCAGCCGCGGUAAUACAGAGGUGGCGAGCGUUGUUCGGAUUUACUGGGCGUAAAGCGUGCGUAGGUGGUUUCGUAUGUCGGGUGUGAAAGCCCACGGCUCAACCGUGGAACUGCAUCCGAAACUGCGGGACUGGAGUGCAGGAGGGGAGAGCGGAAUUCUUGGUGUAGCGGUGAAAUGCGUUGAUAUCAAGAAGAACACCGGUGGCGAAGGCGGCCCUCUGGAAUGCAACUGACACUGAGGCACGAAAGCUGGGGGAGCAAACAGGAUUAGAUACCCUGGUAGUCCCAGCCGUAAACGGUGCACACUUGGUGUGGGGGGGGUAUUGACCCCCCCCGUGCCGGAGCUAACGCGUUAAGUGUGCCGCCUGGGGAGUACGGCCGCAAGGCUAAAACUCAAAGAAAUUGACGGGGGGCCCGCACAAGC
rnacentral:rRNA from 1 species